rnacentral:misc_RNA from 1 species
GAUGAAGAACGCAGCGAAAUGCGAUAAGUAAUGUGAAUUGCAGAAUUCAGUGAAUCAUCGAAUCUUUGAACGCACAUUGCGCCCGCCAGUAUUCUGGCGGGCAUGCCUGUUCGAGCGUCAUUUCAACCAUCAAGCCCCAGGCUUGUGUUGGAGCCCUGCGGCUGCCGCAGCCUCCCAAAACCAGUGGCGGGCUCGCUAUCACACCGAGUGCAGUAGUUUACUCUUCGCUCAGGGCGUGUGGCGGGUGCUAGCCGUGAAACCCCCAACUUCUCAAGGUUGACCUCGGAUCAGGUAGGAAUACCCGCUGAACCUAAGCAUAUCAAUAAGCGGAGGA